GUCACUGUGGCGUAGUGGUUUACGCAUCCUGAUUCAUUAUGUAGCAGUAAUCGGUGUUCUCGGGACCGCGCGGGUUCGAAUCCUGCUGGUGACU